UGGGGCGCGGGGGGAGGGGGGGAGAGAGUACGGUGGGGGGGAGCGGUGGGCGGAAGGAGUGGGGGGAAAGGGCGCGGAUGGGGCGCGGAAAGUCGUCGGGGAAAGCUCAGGGCUCAACUCGGAGUCGGCCGGGGAUACUCUCGCGCUCGAGCUCACUAGAGGCAGAUGGAAUUCCGGGUGUAGCGGUGGAAUGCGUAGAGAGCCGGAAGAACACCGGUGGCGAAGGCGGUCUGCUGGGGUGAGGCUGACGCUGAUGCGCGACAGCGUGGGGAGCAAACAGGAUUAGAUACCCGGGUAGUC
rnacentral:rRNA from 1 species